rnacentral:rRNA from 1 species
GACGAACGCUGGCGGCGUGCUUAACACAUGCAAGUCGAACGGUGAAGCGCCUUCCUUUUUGGUGGGUGUGGAUGAGUGGCGAACGGGUGAGUAACACGUGAGUAACCUGCCCCCUUCUUCUGGAUAACCGCAUGAAAGUGUGGCUAAUACGGGAUAUUCUGGGUCUGUCGCAUGAUGGGUCUGGGAAAGAUAUUGUUUCGGUGGGGGAUGGGCUCGCGGCCUAUCAGCUUGUUGGUGGGGUGAUGGCCUACCAAGGCGGUGACGGGUAGCCGGCCUGAGAGGGUGGACGGUCACACUGGGACGGAGACACGGCCCAGACUCCGACGGGAGGCAGCAGUGGGGAAUAUUGCACAAUGGGCGCAAGCCUGAUGCAGCGACGCCGCGGGAGGGAUGGAGGCCUUCGGGUUGUGAACCUCUUUCGCCAGUGAAGCAGGCCUGCCUCGUUUGUGGGUGGGUUGACGGUAGCUGGAUAAGAAGCGCCGGCUAACUACGUG